CCUACGGGUGGCAGCAGUGGGGGAUAUUGCACAAUGGGGGCAACCCUGAUGCAGCGACGCCGCGUGAGCGAUGGAGUACUUCGGUAUGUAAAGCUCUGUCAGCAGGGAAGCGAAUGACGGUACCUGACCACGAAGCCCCGGCUAAAUACGUGCCAGCAGCGGCUGUAAUACGUCUGGGGCAAGCGUUAUCCGGAUUUACUGGGUGUAAAGGGAGCGUAGGCGGGAGGGCAAGGCUGAUGUGAAAGCCCGGGGCUCAACCCCGGGACUGCAUUGGGAACUGCCCCGCUCGAGUGCCGGAGGGGGAGGCGGAAUUCCUAGGGGAGCGGUUAAAUGCGUAGAUAUUAGGAGGAACACCAGUGGCGAAGGCGGCCUGCUGGACGGUGUACUGACGCUGAGGCUCGAAAGCGUGGGGAGCAAACAGGAUUAGAUACCCUAGUAGUA
rnacentral:rRNA from 1 species